CGUUGUUCACAUCUGGGGGACUCAGGCGUAAACAAUCGAUCCUAGCCAAAAUCGAACCAACGCCCAGCCAAUCACGUGGCGCUCCUCCGGUCAUGUGACGCAGACGGUUCACCUCACAAGACCGGGGUCAACCACGGCUACCAGCAUGAACGACGGCGCUUCAGACCCACGCAGCGAGGACCCGAUGCCAGGUCCAGUGGACAGACUUCAGACGUCUCUGUGUGUCCCGUCCUGUCCGGUCCUGUCUCUGGUUGCCUGGUUACAGACGCUGCUGAAUCCGCACGUUUAAAAAUGUCUACACCUGAAACUCCACCACGUCUAAAGAAGCAAAAACGUUUGCAAAUGUACAGACUGGAGUGGGAAGAGUGGAACCCCUGGCAAUGGAUACAAGGCAAACUGUGUUUUCUGUUGCUCAUGGACUGGCUGAAGUAAGGCAGCAUCAGGAGACAAACAUGGAGGAAAUAUGAGAACAGAGAGAACCCAACCAGCAGGUCACAGUUUAUCAUCAUCUAAUCAUCUCCUGAAGUCCAUAUGGUCCCUCUCUAUCUCCCCACACAUCCACCAACCACUGGAACACAUCUCCAAAGUUCUGCUGGACCAGCUCAGCUUCCCCUCAGAAGAAGUGCUGCCACCUGCCAGAUGAAGGAGCCUUUUGAGAGGCAGCUGGCAUCGUGAUUGGACUGAACUUUGGUCUGUUCCAAUCCAGCUUCAGUUCCAGAGACGGCAGGUGGGACGAGUCAACGGAGGCCUGGUGGAUGAAGGCAUGCAGCUGAGUACAAUCCAGAAAACAACAGAGGAGGAGUGCAGUGGCCCAGGGCCAGAACAACCAGAGUAGCAUCGUAUGUCUCUUAGAAAACAUCAUAGUAUAGCCUUUGGUAUGAAAAAACACCAUCAUAUACAUCGUAUAUUGUACAAAUAACAAGUCAAAGGAAAGAGACAUACAUUGUAGAAUUGUAGUAAUUGUGGGCUGACUGAUUUACUGAUUAUCAGUAUUUUAUUUUUUACUGAUUUACGGUAAUAAAUCAAUUUAAAAAUGGUGCUA